CCUACGGGAGGCUGCAGUGGGGAAUAUUGCGCAAUGGGCGCAAGCCUGACCCAGCAACGCCGCGUGAAGGAAGAAGGCUUUCGGGUUGUAAACUUCUUUUGUCAGGGAAGAGUAGAAGACGGUACCUGACGAAUAAGCCACGGCUAACUACGUGCCCGCAGGCGCGGUAAUACGUCGGUGGCAAGCGUUUUCCGGAUUUACGGGGUGUAAAGGGCGUGUAGCCGGGUUGACAAGUCAGAUGUGAAAUCCUGCGGCGUAACCGCAGAACUGCAUUUGAAACUGUGGAUCUGGAGUACUGGAGAGGCAGACGGAAUUCCUAGUGUAGCGGUGAAAUGCGUAGAUAUUAGGAGGAACACCAGUGGCGAAGGCGGUCUGCUGGACAGCAACUGACGGUGAGGCGCGAAAGCGUGGGGAGCAAACAGGAUUAGAUACCCGAGUAGUC
rnacentral:rRNA from 1 species